rfam:Gorilla gorilla gorilla genomic chromosome, chr3, whole genome shotgun sequence
GCUGGAUCAUGUAGUGAUGGAUGCUUGUAAUCCAAGCUAGUUGGGAGGCUGAGGCAGGAGGAUCACUUGAGCCUAUGAGUUCUGGGCUGUAGUGCACUAUACCUGUCGGGUGUCUGCACUAAGUUUGACAUCAAUAUGGUGACCUUCUGAAAGUAAAGAACCACUAGGUUGCCUAAGGAGGGGUGAACCAGCCCAGUUUGGAAAUGAAGUAGGUCAAAACUUCUGUGCUGAUCAAUAGAGUGAUUGUGCCUAUGAAUAGCCACUGCUUUCCAGCCUGGGCAACAUAAUGAGACCCUAUCCCUG